AUGGAUGGUUCGUGAAAGGGAUGAUGUGGAUGAAGAGUCUCCACCCCGCCGCCAUGUCUGACGACGUUAUCGCGUAAUUGAAGUUACGUAAACAAAAGUAUCCUGUCCAAGGUCCACUUAACAUAAGGGCCAACGAAAGAAGAUCGCAACAGAAACCCUCUCGCAGGUCAACGCCCUAAGGGUAAAAUGCAAGUCGAACGAACUGACAAGGUCUGCAUUCAGAGUCAACGACCAGAAAGGUCGAUUUUAUUGCUAUGUGGUACACGCGUUCAUUGUAAGCGCCUUUUUCAAGGAACUUAAUUCUUCUUAUUACGUGACACAGGAUAAUGUGUGUGGAAUUAUGGGUAAUCUCAAAAAACUAAAAAUGAGAAUAAAGUUAUCUAAUAAUAGAAAUUAAACAAUAUUUAACAAUUUAUUUUGAUGAAAUAUGAAAUAUCAAAGUAAAUACAUAAAUUUGUUUCAUAUAAAUCAAUGUUCUAAUUCAGAAUAAACGUGUAUAUAACGUGUAUAAUCGUGUAUAACGUGUAUGAUUGUGUAUAAUUGUAUAUUUAUAUGUUUUAUUCAUGAAUUACAUUGGUGUCAGAGUCAUUGAUCAGGAUUGAAAGAGAGUUCUAUAAUACAUAUUUAAUACUAGCUAAAGAUGUUCAUAAAACUGUGCGAAAAAUAAUCAAAUAAAUAAAUAAAAAUGUAUAUGCGAAAAAAGAAAAGCUUAAGAAGCUCUUUUUCCUUGUUAGAGAAAGAAAGAAACAGUAAGUUUUUCUUUUAUGGAAUAUAUGGUAAGGUACAAAGCAUCUACUUACAUGUGUAUGAGAAUUUCGCCAAUUCUUCGGACCAUACUUGCUUAGUUUAUUUUCAGGAUCUACGAAGAGAUAUUCUCCAUCUAAAACAAUAAAAAUAAUUUUAUUACGAUACAAAUUUAUCAUUAUUACAUGCGUGAGCGUAUUGAAUACAAUUUAAAAUCCAUUUUAGACAAUCUAUAAUCUAAGAUAAAAUUUGCAAUAUCUUGAAGUGCAAUGAAAUCUUUUAGCUAUCGAAAUAAAUAUAAUAAUAAAUAAAGUUAAUAUAUAUAAGUUAUACUAAUCGUAAAAUGAAGUUAUAAUUAUUUAAGAUUUUUUACAAACUUUAUUUCUAGAUAAAUAAAGGAAACUUUAUAUCAGUGCUUUUAUAUAUCUGUAACGUGCAAUUACGUGUUUUUAAUGUGGAACCAUUCUUUAUAGUUUCUUAUUUUACAUAUAAAAAAGUAUUAAAAACGAUAUUACACUUAUUGUUAAUGAAAUUAUAUUUGAAGUUUUGUUGGAACUUUUAUCACAAAUUAUAGAUCAUCUAAAAAACAUUAUAUUCUCGCAAUACAUCAUAAUUAACGAGAUCGUUAAAAAUAUCGCUAGAUCAAUGAAACACAUUGCAUAUUAUGGAGCUUAUUGGAUUCACUCGCAGAGUAACAGAGAGUUCAGUUGAGCCGAAUUGAGCAUCUACGAAUUAUACUUGUCAUGUCAUUCCGAUAUGGUCUAUUCACAAAGCUCAGGAAUUCAUUGUUUUGCAUGAAUGUUUGCAAGGAUUAACAGUCCAAAAUGUUGAUACUCCCUAAACGAGCGAAACAACGAAAGAGUUCAGCGAGAAGACGUUCGUGAAUGAAAAGGUCUCACAAACCUGUCCUGCCUACAUGGAGCCAAAUAUUCGGACCCUUCUGGUACAAUAACGCGACAUGCUUUCCAAACUGGAACUCAGUUUGAAAUCUCAAGAAGGAGACCAUCACUAUAAUCAGGCUUUUAAAAUUUCAAAAUGCAUCUAACAUUCGUUGUUGCACGCAAGCAUCGAACACUUUCACAAUUAGACUAAAGAAUUAUUUGUAAAUAUCACAGAUAAAUUUAUAUUUGACGAUAUAUGACAAUACCUCGAAGUAAACUAUUCAGAAUUCGCAUUUCAUUAUACAUGUAAUGUGCAGAAUGUUCCAGAUUUUGCGCACUACUUUGUUUAAUAUUCUUGAGAGAUCAUUUGAAGACAAAAUUUUCAUAUUAAAAUAUCUUUCGAGACUAGAAUAAUUUUUAAAUGAGAUAUGUUUAGAAUUGGUUAUAUCAUUUAUAUUAAUUAUAAUCAAAAUUACGUGUACUCAAAAUAUAAAGUAAUAGUAAAAAUGUCUUUAAGUACUUCAAAAUUUAUUGAAAGAGAGAGAGA